GACUUAAAGAAAAGUGUUCACAUAAGAUGCCCAUGAAAGAUAAAUUCGUAUAAUUCAAUCCCACAAAUCUCGCGUUAUUCCAAUCUGUUUCUUGUGCUGCUCUUAAUGUUAUUAUUUGUGGUCUGUCUCUCUGAAAGUAUGGAGCGACAGUUUGCUGAGUUGGGUAACGCUAGCUUGUAACCCAAGUGGGGGCUUUAGGGUGAUGGAACAUGGCUCUGGCUAUGCUUGGUUGGACUGGAGGUUGCACCAUGUUGGCUUGCCCACUCCAACUUGAAAGUUGGGUCGUGGUACUUGGGCGAAGGCUCAAGUGUCCUGGUUCCUAAACUAGAGGGCACCGCGUUAGGCUGGUUUCACAGAGCAACGAUCACCUCUGGCUUCUGACAGUGGAGGGAUUACAAGCUGCUGCACCAUUAGCCCACAAUGCCUGGUGUGCCUAGCCCUUGAACCAUCACUUUUUUAU